UGGGAAUUUUGGACAAUGGGCGCAAGCCUGAUCCAGCCAUGCCGCGUGCGGGAAGAAGGCCUUCGGGUUGUAAACCGCUUUUGUCAGGGAAGAAAUCUUCUGAGUUAAUACCUCGGGAGGAUGACGGUACCUGAAGAAUAAGCACCGGCUAACUACGUGCCAGCAGCCGCGGUAAUACGUAGGGUGCAAGCGUUAAUCGGAAUUACUGGGCGUAAAGCGUGCGCAGGCGGUUUUGUAAGACAGAGGUGAAAUCCCCGGGCUCAACCUGGGAACUGCCUUUGUGACUGCAAGGCUUGAGUGCGGCAGAGGGGGAUGGAAUUCCGCGUGUAGCAGUGAAAUGCGUAGAUAUGCGGAGGAACACCGAUGGCGAA
rnacentral:rRNA from 1 species